rnacentral:rRNA from 1 species
AGAGCAUAAGGCGGAUGCCUUGGCACUGGGAGCCGAUGAAGGACGUGACAAGCUGCGAUAAGCUACGGGGAGGAGCACAUAUCCGUCAAUCCGUAGAUUUCCGAAUGGGGGAACCCACCUAUAGUAAUGUGUAGGUAUUUUCGUAUGAAUCUAUAGUACGAAUAAAGGCAACCCGGGGAACUGAAACAUCUAAGUACCCGGAGGAAGAGAAAGAAAAAUCGAUUUCCUAAGUAGCGGCGAGCGAAAGGGAAAGAGGCCAAACCGUUAGUUUACUAACGGGGUUGUGGAUCACAGCCGUGGUAGAUACAAGUUUAGCAGAAGACAACUGGAAAGUUUGCGACACAGAGGGUAAUAUCCCCGUAUGCGAAAAAUGAGUAUCACCUAUGUGACACCAGAGUAGGACCGAACACGUGGAAUUCGGUUUGAAGCCGGGGGGCCCACCCCCCAAGCCUAAAUACUACCCAGUGACCGAUAGUGAAUAGUACCGUGAGGGAAAGGUGAAAAGGACCCCGGGAGGGGAGUGAAAUAGAACCUGAAACCUUAUGCUUACAAGCAGAGGGAGCGCAAGUGACCUCGUACUUUUUGUAGAACGGGCCAACGAGUUAUGGUAUGCAGCGAGGUUAAGGUGCUGGAGCACUGGAGCCGUAGAGAAAUCGAGUCUGAAAGGGCGAAAGUUGCAUGCUGUAGACCCGAAACCGGGUGAUCUAUCCAUGUCCAGGUUGAAGUAACUGUAAUAGGUUAUGGAGGACCGAACUUAUAUCUGUUGAAAAAGGUUAGGAUGAGGUGUGGAUAGGGGUGAAAUUCCAAUCGAACUCGGAUAUAGCUGGUUCUCCUCGAAAUAGCUUUAGGGCUAGCCUCGUAGUAAGAUACCUGGGGGUAGAGCACUGAAUGUUCUAGGGGCCUUCACCGGUUACCGAAAACUAUCAAACUCCGAAUACCAGAGUAUUAUCUACGGGAGUCAGACUAUGUGAGAUAAGUUUCAUAGUCGAAAGGGAAACAGCCCAGACCGUCAGCUAAGGUCCCAAAAUAUAGGUUAAGUGGAAAAGGAUGUGGGGUUGCACAGACAGCUAGGAUGUUGGCUUAGAAGCAGCCAUUCAUUCAAAGAGUGCGUAAUAGCUCACUAGUCGAGUGACCCUGCGCCGAAGAUAAACGGGGCUAAAACCUAUUACCGAAGCUACGGAUACUUAAUGUAUGGUAGAGGAGCGUCGUAUACGGGUUGAAGCAGUACUGUAAGGUAUUGUGGACUUUAUACGAGAGAGAAUGUUGGCAUGAGUAGCGCGAGGCAGGUGAGAAUCCUGCCCACCGAAAAUCUAAGGUUUCCUGAGGAAGGUUCGUCCACUCAGGGUUAGUCGGGGCCUAAGCCGAGGGCGAAAGCCAUAGGCGAUGGAUAACAGGUAGAAAUUCCUGUACCACCGAAGGUUGUUUGAAUGAUGUGGGGACACAGGAGGAUAAGCUGAGCACGCCGUUGGUAGAGCGUGUCCAAGCGUCAAGGGAGUAUGAAUAGGCAAAUCCGUUCAUAUAUAUUCUGAGGCGUGAUGGGGUGGUCAAUAGACCGGAAGCAGCUGAUUUCACACUGUCAAGAAAAGCCGCUAAUUAGACCUAAGGUGCCCGUACCGCAAACCGACACAGGUAGAUGAGGAGAGAAUCCUAAGGUGAGCGAGAGAACUAUUGUUAAGGAACUCGGCAAAAUAACCCCGUAACUUCGGGAGAAGGGGUGCCUGCUUCGGCAGGCCGCAGUGAAAAGGCCCAGGCAACUGUUUACCAAAAACACAGGUCUCUGCAAAAGCGAAAGCUGAAGUAUAGGGGCUGACGCCUGCCCGGUGCUGGAAGGUUAAGGGGACGUGUCAUCGCAAGAGAAGCACUGAACUUAAGCCCCAGUAAACGGCGGCCGUAACUAUAACGGUCCUAAGGUAGCGAAAUUCCUUGUCGGGUAAGUUCCGACCCGCACGAAAGGCGUAAUGAUCUGGGCACUGUCUCAACAAUAGACUCGGUGAAAUUGUAGUACCGGUAAAGAUGCCGGUUACCCGCAGCAGGACGGAAAGACCCCGUGGAGCUUUACUGUAGCUUGAUAUUGAGUUUCGGCGUUGCAUGUACAGGAUAGGUGGGAGACUAUGAAGCAAGUACGCCAGUAUUUGCGGAGUCAUCGUUGGGAUACCACCCUUGUAACGCUGGAAUUCUAACCAUGUACCGUGAUCCGGUGCUGAGACAGUGUCAGGUGGGCAGUUUGACUGGGGCGGUCGCCUCCUAAAGAGUAACGGAGGCGCCCAAAGG